rnacentral:rRNA from 1 species
AUGAAACACUCCUACGGGAGGCAGCAGUGAGGAAUAUUGGUCAAUGGACGGAAGUCUGAACCAGCCAAGUAGCGUGCAGGAUGACGGCCCUCCGGGUUGUAAACUGCUUUUAGUUGGGAAUAAAAAGAGGGACGUGUCCCUAAUUGUAUGUACCUUCAGAAAAAGGACCGGCUAAUUCCGUGCCAGCAGCCGCGGUAAUACGGAAGGUCCAGGCGUUAUCCGGAUUUAUUGGGUUUAAAGGGAGCGUAGGCGGAUUAUUAAGUCAGUGGUGAAAGACGGUGGCUCAACCAUCGUUAGCCAUUGAAACUGGUAGUCUUGAGUGCAGACAGGGAUGCUGGAACUCGUGGUGUAGCGGUGAAAUGCUUAGAUAUCACGAUGAACUCCGAUCGCGAAGGCAGGUGUCCGGGCUGCAACUGACGCUGAGGCUCGAAAGUGUGGGUAUCAAACAGGAUUAGAAACCCUUGUAGUCCGAAGUUC